AGGGAUUUAGGAUAACAACAGACCAAGGGCCUUCAAAGCCCUCAGCGGGAGUGGAAAACUCCCAGUCCCUA
rnacentral:tRNA from 1 species